UACAUGGGGUGCAAACGUUGCUCGGAAUUAUUGGGCGUAAAGCGCACGUAGGCGGUUCGUUAAGUCGGAUGUGAAAGCCCUCGGCUCAACUGAGGAAGUGCACCCGAAACUGGCGAGCUUGAGUACGAAAGAGGAUCGCGGAAUUCCCGGUGUAGAGGUGAAAUUCGUAGAUAUCGGGAGGAACACCGGUGGCGAAGGCGACGAUCUGGGUCGAUACUGACGCUGAGGUGCGAAAGCGUGGGGAGCAAACAGG
rnacentral:rRNA from 1 species